rnacentral:rRNA from 1 species
GACGAACGCUGGCGGGGUGCUUAACACAUGCAAGUCGAACGGAAAGGCCCUGCUUUUGUGGGGUGCUCGAGUGGCGAACGGGUGAGUAACACGUGAGUAACCUGCCCUUGACUUUGGGAUAACUUCAGGAAACUGGGGCUAAUACCGGAUAGGAGCUCCUGCUGCAUGGUGGGGGUUGGAAAGUUUCGGCGGUUGGGGAUGGACUCGCGGCUUAUCAGCUUGUUGGUGGGGUAGUGGCUUACCAAGGCUUUGACGGGUAGCCGGCCUGAGAGGGUGACCGGCCACAUUGGGACUGAGAUACGGCCCAGACUCCUACGGGAGGCAGCAGUGGGGAAUAUUGCACAAUGGGCGGAAGCCUGAUGCAGCAACGCCGCGUGCGGGAUGACGGCCUUCAGGGUGUAAACCGCUUUCGCCUGUGACGAAGCGUGAGUGACGGUAAUGGGUAAAGAAGCACCGGCUAACUACGUG